rfam:Capsicum annuum cultivar Zunla-1 chromosome 5, whole genome shotgun sequence
GCCCCCAUUGUCUAGUGGUUUAGGACAUUUCUUUUUCAAGGAGGCAGUGGGGAUUCGAAUUCCCUUGGGGGUA